rnacentral:tRNA from 1 species
GCUGGGGUAGCCUAGCCCGGUAAGACGGUAGAUUCGAAAUCUACUGCUAGAAAUAGCUCGGGAGUUCAAAUCUCCCUCCCAGCG